rnacentral:scRNA from 12 species
AAGGAGGUAUAAGAAGGUGAAACUAUUAAAGCAUAUAGUAUUCACUGAUACUCACCUCCAAAAGUAAAAGUGGUAGUGUGAACCACAUGAUCUCCAGAGAGAGGUUCUUAGUGCUCUGCAGCUACCUACAAAG